rnacentral:rRNA from 1 species
UUAAGUGAAUAAGGGCGCACGGUGGAUGCCUUGGCACUAGGAGCCGAUGAAGGACGGGACUAACACCGAUAUGCUUUGGGGAGCUGUACGUAAGCUAUGAUCCAGAGAUUUCCGAAUGGGGGAACCCAGCAUCUUUAAUAGGAUGUUACGAUUGUGUGAAUACAUAGCACAUUCGAGGUAGACGCAGAGAACUGAAACAUCUAAGUACCUGCAGGAAGAGAAAGAAAAUUCGAUUCCCUGAGUAGCGGCGAGCGAAACGGGAAAAGCCCAAACCAACAAGCUUGCUUGUUGGGGUUGUAGGACUCCAAUAUGGUCGUUCUUUCAGAUAGUCGAAUGACUUGGAAAAGUCAGUCAAAGAGGGUAAAAACCCCGUAGACGAAAUGUGGAAGACACCUAGGAGGAUCCUGAGUACGGCGGAACACGAGAAAUUCCGUCGGAAUCCGGGAGGACCAUCUCCCAAGGCUAAAUACUCCCUAGUGACCGAUAGUGAACCAGUACCGUGAGGGAAAGGUGAAAAGCACCCCGGAAGGGGAGUGAAAUAGAACCUGAAACCGUGUGCCUACAACAAGUCAAAGCCCGUUAAUGGGUGAUGGCGUGCCUUUUGUAGAAUGAACCGGCGAGUUACGAUUGCAUGCGAGGUUAAGUUGAAGAGACGGAGCCGCAGCGAAAGCGAGUCUGAAUAGGGCGAAUGAGUAUGUAGUCGUAGACCCGAAACCAUGUGAUCUACCCAUGUCCAGGUUGAAGGUGCGGUAAAACGCACUGGAGGACCGAACCCACGUACGUUGAAAAGUGCGGGGAUGAGGUGUGGGUAGCGGAGAAAUUCCAAACGAACUUGGAGAUAGCUGGUUCUCUCCGAAAUAGCUUUAGGGCUAGCCUCGGAAUUGAGAAUGAUGGAGGUAGAGCACUGUUUGGACUAGGGGCCCAUCUCGGGUUACCGAAUUCAGAUAAACUCCGAAUGCCAUUCAUUCAUAUCCGGGAGUCAGACUGCGAGUGAUAAGAUCCAUAGUCGAAAGGGAAACAGCCCAGACCACCAGCUAAGGUCCCAAAAUAUAUGUUAAGUGGAAAAGGAUGUGGGGUUGCACAGACAACUAGGAUGUUGGCUUAGAAGCAGCCACCAUUUAAAGAGUGCGUAAUAGCUCACUAGUCGAGUGACCCUGCGCCGAAAAUGUACCGGGGCUAAACAUAUUACCGAAGCUGUGGAGUACACCUUUAGGUGUAUUGGUAGGAGAGCGUUCUAAGGGCGUCGAAGGCAGAUCGUGAGGACUGCUGGAGCGCUUAGAAGUGAGAAUGCCGGUAUGAGUAGCGAAAGACAGGUGAGAAUCCUGUCCACCGAAUGACUAAGGUUUCCUGGGGAAGGCUCGUCCGCCCAGGGUUAGUCGGGACCUAAGCCGAGGCCGAUAGGCGUAGGCGAUGGAUAACAGGUUGAUAUUCCUGUACCCGUUGUUUUUGUUUGAGCAAUGGAGGGACGCAGGAGGCUAAGGAAUGCAGACGAUCGGAAAUGUCUGUCCAAGCAGUAAGUCUGAAGAGGAGUCAAAUGCUUCUUUUCUUAAGGACAAGCUGUGAUGGGGAGGGAAAUAAUAGUACCGAAGUUCCUGAUGUCACACUGCCGAGAAAAGCUUCUAGUGAGAAAACAGCGGCCCGUACCGCAAACCGACACAGGUAGUCGAGGAGAGAAUCCUAAGGUGAGCGAGAGAACUCUCGUUAAGGAACUCGGCAAAAUGACCCCGUAACUUCGGGAGAAGGGGUGCUGAUCAUACGAUCAGCCGCAGUGAAUAGGCCCAAGCGACUGUUUAUCAAAAACACAGGUCUCUGCAAAAUCGUAAGAUGAAGUAUAGGGGCUGACGCCUGCCCGGUGCUGGAAGGUUAAGAGGAGUGCUUAGCGCAAGCGAAGGUACGAAUUGAAGCCCCAGUAAACGGCGGCCGUAACUAUAACGGUCCUAAGGUAGCGAAAUUCCUUGUCGGGUAAGUU